rnacentral:rRNA from 1 species
GAUGAACGCUGGCGGCGUGCCUAAUACAUGCAAGUCGAGCGAACGGACGAGAAGCUUGCGUCUCUGAUGUUAGCGGCGGACGGGCGAGUAACACGUGGAUAACCUACCUAUAAUACGGGGAUAACUUCGGGAAACCGCAGCUAAUACCGGAUAAUAUUUUCAACCGCAGGGUUCAAAAGUGCAAGACGGCCUUGCUGUCACUUUGAGCUGGAUCCGCGUUGCAUUAGCUAGUUGGUAAGGUAACGGCUUACCAAGGCAACGAUGCGUAGCCGACCUGAGAGGAUGAUCGGCCACACUGGAACUGAGACACGGUCCAGACUCCUACGGGAGGCAGCAGUAGGGAAUCUUCCGCAAUGGGCGAAAGCCUGACGGAGCAACGCCGCGUGGGUGAAGAAGGUCUUCGGAUCGUAAAGCUCUUUUAUUAGGAAAGAACAGCUGUGUGAGAAACUGUGGCUGUCUUGACGGUACCUAAAGAAAAAGCAACGGCUAACUACGUG